UAGUCAAGCAAGCUGGCUGUUGCUAGGCAACUGUUGGGCGGAGCAUACCCAACUGUUCCCAGGUAGCUGUGGGGGUGGAGCUUAGACAGAAUACCAAAUCCUUGGGCCACUUUGUCAGAGAACGAGACCCAAAGGUGGGAUCUGGCCUGGAUUUAGAAGAAUCAGAGGAGACAGGCCCCAGAAAGAAUAGAACACCAGUCUCUUCCUCACUGACCCCACCAGGCCCUGUUCUGGGGAAGAAGACUGAGAAGCAUGGGGAACAGAGAUAUGAGUGCAGUGUUCCUGGCUACCUGAAGGUGCCAAAAGGCAUCACAGGAAAAGCCUAGCACAGUGCGAGCCUUCAGAAAGCUAGGAAAACUUACAAGGUUCAGGAAGAACAUGAAACUUACAAACUUCCCAAGGCCUCUCUCCAAGAUUGUUAAAGCAGUGAACGAUUGCUGGGAGAAGAGACACUCUGCUCAGCUGUUGGCAGUUCAAGAGUUCCAAGGAUGCUUUGAGUCAUUCAUUCUCCUGGAAGGAACCUCCACCCCUGCUCUUGUAAGUAAGCACAAUAAACUCAUAGAUGGAUGGAA